rnacentral:rRNA from 1 species
AGAGUUUGCUUCUGGCUCAGAACGAACGCUGGCGGCGUGGAUAAGACAUGCAAGUCGAACGGAGUGACUUCGGUCACUGAGUGGCGCACGGGUGAGUAACACGUGAGUAAUCUGCCCCUGAGACAGGGAUAGCCCCGGGAAACUGGGAUUAAUACCUGAUAGUCUCGCAAGAGUAAAGCAGCAAUGCGCUUGGGGAUGAGCUCGCGGCCUAUUAGUUAGUUGGCGGGGUAACGGCCCACCAAGGCGAUGACGGGUAGCCGGUCUGAGAGGAUGUCCGGCCACACUGGAACUGAGACACGGUCCAGACACCUACGGGUGGCAGCAGUCGAGAAUCAUUCACAAUGGGGGAAACCCUGAUGGUGCGACGCCGCGUGGGGGAGGAAGGUCUUCGGAUUGUAAACCCCUGUCAUGUGGGAGCAAGGCGCAAGCUUGAUAGUACCACAAGAGGAAGAGACGGCAAACUCUGUGCCAGCAGCCGCGGUAAUACAGAGGUCUCAAGCGUUGUUCGGAAUCACUGGGCGUAAAGGGUACGUAGGCGGCAACAUAAGUCGUGCGUGAAAGGCAGGGGCUCAACCUCUGGAGUGCGCAUGAUACUGUGGGGCUAGAGUAAUGGAGGGGGAACCGGAAUUCUUGGUGUAGCAGUGAAAUGCGUAGAUAUCAAGAAGAAGACUCGUGGCGAAGGCGGGUUCCUGGACAUUUACUGACGCUGAGGUACGAAGGCUAGGGUAGCGAAAGGGAUUAGAUACCCCUGUAGUCCUAGCAGUAAACGGUGCACGUUUGGUGUGCGGGGAAUCGACCCCCUCUGUGCCGGAGUUAACACAAUAAGCAUUCCGCCUGGGGAGUACGGCCGCAAGGUUGAAACUCAAAGGAAUUGACGGGGGCCCGCACAAGCAGCGGAGCAUGUGGUUUAAUUCGAAGCAACGCGAAGAACCUUACCAGGUCUUGACAUCCAAUAAAACUUGUAGAGAUACAUCGUGGACUUCGGUCCGUAUUGAGACAGGUGGUGCAUGGUUGUCGUCAGCUCGUGUCGUGAGAUGUUGGGUUAAGUCCCGCAACGAGCGCAACCCUUGUGAUCAGUUACUAACGGGUAGUGCCGAGGACUCUGAUAAGACUGCCGGGGACAACUCGGAGGAAGGUGGGGACGACGUCAAAUCAUCAUGCCCCUUAUGACCUGGGCUACACACGUGCUACAAUGGCCACUACAGAGAGAAGCGAGCCUGAGAGGGGGAGCGGAUCUCAAAAAAGUGGUCCCAGUUCGGAUUGUGGGCUGCAACCCGCCCACAUGAAGUCGGAGUUGCUAGUAAUCGCGGAUCAGCAUGCCGCGGUGAAUACGUUCCCGGGCCUUGCACUCACCGCCCGUCA